rnacentral:rRNA from 1 species
CAGUAGCCGCGGUAAAACAGAGGGUGCGAGCGUUAAUCGGAUUUACUGGGCGUAAAGCGUGCGUAGGCGGCUUUUUAAGUCGGAUGUGAAAUCCAUGAGCUUAACUUAGGAAUUGCAUUCGAUACUGGGAAGCUAGAGUAUGGGAGAGGAUGGUAGAAUUCCAGGUGUAGCGGUGAAAUGCGUAGAGAUCUGGAGGAAUACCGAUGGCGAAGGCAGCCAUCUGGCCUAAUACUGACGCUGAGGUACGAAAGCAUGGGGAGCAAACAGGAUUAGAUACCCGAGUAGUCCCUGUCUCUUAUAA